rnacentral:rRNA from 1 species
CGGGUGAGUAGUACAUCGGAACGUGUCUUCUAGUGGGGGAUAACUGCCCGAAAGGGCAGCUAAUACCGCAUGAGACCUGAGGGUGAAAGCGGGGGAUCGCAAGACCUCGCGCUGGAAGAGCGGCCGAUGUCCGAUUAGCUAGUUGGUGAGGUAAAGGCUCACCAAGGCGACGAUCGGUAGCUGGUCUGAGAGGACGACCAGCCACACUGGGACUGAGACACGGCCCAG